ACUCCCAGAGUGGACUGGCGGGGACCCCCGGGUGCGGAUUGGAAAACCCUGCUACUGUGUUUGGAAUAAGAGAAGGGACCUGAAAUUGGGAGAAGACAAGAGCUGAUGGGAAUAAGGGCAAAGUGCCUUCGGGAUGGAGCGAUGGAAGACUGUAGUUAGUAGGAUGUAGUUAGUAAUCUUGUGGGGGUCACAAGAUUUUCCUACUAAUUAGAGAGGCGCUCAGGAUAGGGGGCGCAGAGUGUUUGUAGCCGCCAGGGAAUAGGGGAGGUAAUCCUGAAUGGAGGCAUGGUGGACGCUACAGAGGUUAGAGUUAGAGGACUUCUGCAUGGAGGUACAGUGUUUCCCUGCUAGCUAGAGUGACCACCAGGAGAGGGCUUAAGAAACUCUGCAGGCAGCUCCGGAAUAGGGUAAGGGGACCUGCAGUUGGGGAAAGUGGCAAGGCUACCCUGAAUUGGGGGUAUGGGAGACACUGCAGAGGAUGAAGAGAGGAAAGCACAGAUGGGGGGACACAGUGGUCUCCGCAGAAUAGGAAGUGGGAGACCCUGCGGCCAGCCCCAGCAAGAGGGACCCUCAGUGAAGGGGGCAGAGGGUCCUCUGCAUAGACAGGGUCAGAAAAUCCAGAGUGGGGAAGCUGUGAGGCACUGGACAUGAAGUCGGGAAAGCUGGCACCUGUGUGGGUGUUUGGGGGGAAGUGACAGGUGUGCUAGUAGUCAUUCAGGCCAGGGUCUGCAGACUGAGGUCAGCUCCACAGUUUGCUGGCCAGUGACCUUGAACAAGUUAUGCACCCCCCUCAGUUUUCCCAUCUGUACAAAGCCCUAGGACAGGCUGCAACUUGAGACCCCUACCUAGCUUCCCAAGCAGUUUUGGCUUUGUGGGUGGGUGCGUGGGGAGUCCUCUGCCGAAUUGGGGUAGGGGAACCCACGUGCUGCCUGCGGAUAUGGCAGCUGCUUUCCUACAACUAGGAAAUCCCUUUCUCCUCCCCAUCGCCUCAACUUCAAUUUGGCAUCUCUCCCCACACCCCCACAAUGGAUAAGUGAGUCCCAUGAUAGGCAUCCCUUCCCGCCCCAUAAGCCCUAUUGUGGUAUCAUGUAUUAAAAGGGGUCCUGAGAUUUGGGGAGCUCUGCAACUGCUGUUGUUAUUUGACUUUUUCUUGGUUUUGGCUCAUUUCAAAUGUCUUGGGAGUGGGAGCGGUACUGCGGAUGGCGCUUCAGCACCGGGGACACGACCUGCUUUUUUUCAGGGAGAAAGGAGUUAACCUCUGCCUUUACCAUGAGGAGGAAGGGAGGGGGGUGUGCACCUCCCCCUUGCUUGGCCAUUGUACUAAACAGAUGGGGAACGGAGGAGGAAGUGGGUAAAUGGUCUGGCAGGGUCUUCCGGGGAGUCAAGGACCCAGCCCCUCAACUUUCUGCUAGGGGUCCAGUUCCCUGUUUUCUGCAUUCUCCCACACACAAACCUGGGCAGUCCCGCUCAUCUGCUGGGAGCUGAAAGGACCCCUGGAAUGCUGGAUGCUGGGAAGGAGAAUCAGCGAAGACUCGCCUCCCAGAUCUGAGCCUCCCUCAGGCAGUUAUCUCAACCCUACUACGUUUCCAGUUUACACUGGUUUUCCUCCUGUGGGAUCCCCAAGAUGGGGACAAACUUUCUCCCAGGAAAGACCCGUGCCAGCUCUUUUCUGUUUGCCCUCCACCUCAUUCCCAGCCCCCUGGUUCUAAGCAGACCCUCAGCAAUGGGGAAGUGAUGGUGCUGUCCCUUUAACCACGUUUUACUGGAAGGAGAGUGCGCAGGGGAAGGAGGAGGGGGGAGGGAGUUUCUGGCUUUGCAUGGAGAAGCAGAACAUGAUGAAGCAUUUUUCCUCCCAUUUAAUGAUCCCGGCAUGCAGAGAGGCUGUUUUGCAGUUGGUGCUGGGAGGAUGGAGCCUCACAAGACUUGUCAUCAAACCCAUUUUCCAGAGAAGGAAACAGGCCAGGACUACAGAACUCGUUUCUCCGCUUCUGAAUAGUAGGCGGGUUCUCCGACUUGACAGAUUCGCGCCCUCUGCAGGCGGCGGCGGGCACGCCAGCGUCUCGGUCAGCCCCGCCCCUCGGCGCCGGAAACGCCCAGAACGCUCCUAACGCUCUUCCGAAGGUCCGGGCUGGGAGAAGCCGGGCGCGCUCGCAACCGGGACCCAACUUCCCUGCGGUGUUGGUAAUCGUGGCGUCGGGUCAGAGGCAUCAUUGGGAACCGCGGAAAGGUGGCGGCGUUUUAACUGCUAACUCUUCGUCGUGAGUUAUACCCCGACGGCGGCAACGUUCAGAGGGGAAGGUGAUCCUCACAGGGCGAUCGUGCACAAGCGAGGACACCGGUGCAUCAAGCCCUGGGCCAGUUUCCCUGCGUCUGUGCUUCUGAGUGUAACCUCCCACUCCCCAGACCUCAGUUUCUGCACCUGUAAAAUGGGGACUCUCCCAGGACACUUCCACGACUGCAAACAUUAGGAUUUCCUCCAGCAUUUUCAGAAAUUCCAUCCCUAGGCAGGCACUGAGAAAUCAGAGCUGGGACAGGCUAGUCCGUGGGGAUGCCCCUUCCCUUGCUGCAGUAGCACUCCUGACACUGGAGAGUCCUGGAGGGUAGGGACCAAUCCUUUCCUGGUGGACCAGGAGCCCUACAACGUGGGGUGAUGACAGACAAGAGACAUGGCCAUGGAAGUAACAAGUGACAUAGUAGCUCAAAUUUAUUGAGCACUUACUGUGUGCCUGGCCUUGUGUGAAGCCCAUCACAUGUGUUAUUUCCACCUCAGUACAGCCCUGUCUGGUGGACACUGUUCUUACCAUCCCCAGUUUACUGAUGAGGCAUUGGAGGCCCAGAAUCACAAGUUGUUCACUCCAGCCAGUAAAAAACUGGAACUUUGUGGUCCAUUAAUGGUGCACUCUGCCUGCCUGUAUAUCACUCUUAGGAAGACCCAAUUCUUCCCUGAGUCUCAGUUUCCCCUUCUGUAAAAUGAGAUGCUUAGAUUGGAAGGCUCUGAACAUUGUUUCCUGAGCUCCUGUUCUUUGAUUUUGGGGAGCGUUUACAUGAUUCCAGAGUCCUAGGUUUGUUCAUAAUUACCUAUGACUUGGGCAUGCCUUGGCCUAGUUCCCUGCAUCUCUGCGCCUCAGUCCCGCCCUGCUAAGAUGUGGAAACUAGAUAAUCCCAAUAGCAAGGGCACCUUCCAGCUUUACUAUUUUAUGAUUACAGAUGAAGAGACAAGGUGAGGUUCAGCAAACUGUACAUCCCCUCAGAAUUUGUCAUUAGUGUGUUUCUACCAGUCCCCUCAGAACAUCCCUGGUGUGAGGCUUCCAAGGACAGAUGUCCUGCACAGGUGAAGGGAAGCAGCCAUCUCCAAACAGUCAGCAGUAACUGCUGGGAGAGGCUACUCCCUAAUGGUUCAGGGCUUACCUCUGAAGUCAGACCAAUCCAAGGCUGACUGUCAGCUCUGCCACUUCCCAGCAGGGCACCUCAGGCAAGCAACCUUUCCUUUCUGUGCCUCAGUUUCUACGUCUGUAAAAUGCGGUGCUUAUAGUACCAGCUUCAUUUGAGAUUUGAUGAAAAAACAUAUGUAACACCAUUUAUGGUCUAGAAAACCCUAAAUAAAACCAACUGUUAUCAUUUG